rnacentral:rRNA from 1 species
ACUCCGUACCAGCAGCAGCAGUAAGACGGGGAGGGAGGCAAGUGUUCUUCGGACUGACUGGGCGUAAAGGGGCACGUAGGCGGUGAAUCAGGUUGAAAGUGAAAGUCACAAAAAACUGGUGGAAUGCUCUCAAAACCAAUUCAUUUAAGUAAGACAGAGGAGAGUGGAAUUUCGUGUGUAGGGGUAAAAUCCGUAGAUCUACGAAGGAAUGGCAAAAGAAAAGGCAGCUCUCUAGGUCCCUACCGACGCUGGGGUGCAAAAGCAUGUCGAGCGAACAGGAUUAGAUACCCUGGUAGUCGAUGAUGUAAAUGAUGAGUGUUCGCCCUUGGUCUACGUGGAUCAAGGUCCCAGCUAACACGUGAAACACCACGCCUGGGGAGUACCGUCGCAAGAUCGAAACUCAAAGGAAUUGACGGGGGCCUGCACAAGCGGUGGAGCAUGUGGUUUAGUUCGAUACAACGCGCAAAACCUUACCAGCCCUUGACAUAUGAACAACAAAACCUGUCCUUAACAGGAUGGUACUGACUUUCAUACAGGUGCUGCAUGGCUGUUGUUAGCUCGUAUCGUGAGAUGUUUGGUCAAGUCCUAUAAUGAGUGAAACCCUUGUUUUGUGUUGCUGAGAUACGCGCCAAAGGAGAAAUGGCAACCGGAGUGAGCCGAGUGAUGUACCAGCGCUACUAGUUGAGUGCCAGCACGUAGCUGUGCUUUCAGCAAGAAGUUCACGGGAGCCGGCGCCUUUCGAAGCACUUUCACGUGUGAACCAAAGUCAUCUGGAAAGAUUGCCUCAGUUCGGAUUGUUCUCUGCAACUCGGGAACAUGAAGUUGGAAUCGCUAGUAAUCACGGAUCAGCAUGCCGCGGUGAGUAUGUACCCGGGCCCUGUACACACCGUCCGUCACACCCUGGCAAUUGGUUUUGCCCGAAGGAUCAGACUAAUGAUCAUCCAUGACUUCUGUGUACCACUAGUGCCACAAAGGCUU